UAGUUAACUAGUGAUUAUUUUAAGAUUGAUUGUUUUUUAUAAGGUAAGUUUGAUGCUAGCUUGCAACUUACAUUGGCUCCUUGCUGCACUCGCGUAACAGGUGGUGCAAUGUGAUCGGUGUCCAAAAAUGCAGAUUACCGAUUGUUAAGAAAAUUUGAAGUCGACCUAGUCUGUACGGGGGAUAAUUUGAUGUAGGCCUCAUAAAACAUUGUGUACUUCCUACAGGAGAGGCAGUGUGAGCGGACUGACUCUGAAGCUGAUCAAGGCAUCAGUGACAGAGAUGCUGGAUACUGUCUAAUGACGACUAUGUCAACGUGGCCAGGUCUUUCUUCAAACUCUCUUCUGCUCUGUCCUUCUCUCUCCUGCCCUAUUUCAGUUUAAUGAGAAGGCAGAGGCAGUGGUCCCUUGCUUCAAACACCUGGUCCAGGCCAACGUUCGCAACAAGAAGAUCUUCAAAGAGACUGUGCAGAUCAUGCAAGCUAAAGGCACCACAGACUGCAAGUCUGGUUUCCACUUUGCCUUCAAUCAGCUACUAAAUGUAAAUGACUCAAAGCUCAACACUCUGAAUGACCGCACUAUGGACUAGUGAUGCCCAAUUCUUUGUUACUACUAUAAAUUACAUUUAAUUAUAGAUAACAGACCAGUAGAACAUAUAACAGUGGCUCUCUAGGAGUAGACAGUGUUAUAUAUGGAAUGGGUGAUCCUGUUUGGCUUAGUUGGUAAGAGUGUAACAGUUUUUAAAGUACUAUGUGAAUUUCACCAGGUUCAUAUAUUAAUAUGUCGUGUUGAUUUGUUAUUAUGCAUGCUUGCAUCCUGGGAGAAGGGGAGUGUGUACUCGUGCUCAAAUCAUUGAUCUGCAAAGUCCACGUUGAUGCACUGGGAGGUAGGCACGCUUUUUCUGUCUUCAGAAAAGUUUGAUUCUUUUAAGUACAAAGUCAUACACACAGUGUUUUGUUCAUGAAUAAUAAUGUAUAUUUAGAGGUUGUUAAUGAAUUAAUUAUAGGAGAAACGAGACCAAGAUGAGACUCUGGACAAGGCGGAUACGGUAUAUUUGAGGCAUUUUAAUCUAGCAUAGUAAUAUCUGGCAAACGUGCAGCACGGCUCCUAUCGUCCACUCUUAGGGAGGUUUCGGAAAAAGAGGGCGUAACACAUAUUUGGGCAGUACAUUUAUACAUUGAAAUGACGUAGGUAGAUUCUAGUAGUCCUGGCUCCUGGUUGGUUGUUCGUAGGUGAUAGACAGUCCUCUCCAGCCUGUUGUCUGUAUCUCAUUGGUUCUUGACAGAGUUCUUUGUCUUUGUAGCCCAUCCCAAAGGGUUUGGAGCAGUGUAUAUUCAUGGGUUAUCCAUGUGUUUAACAACAGUCCGUGAAUGCGUCAUUACAUGUUUUAAUAUGUUAUUACAACAAGGUCACUCGUAAGUGGAUGCACUUGUAAUUGUACUUUUUAGGAUGAUCUCAACAUUCUGAAUUCAACAUAUGGUUAAUAGCUAGUUAAGGUAUUAGCAGGCUAUUGUAUGUGUGAACGAUGGCUAGCUCCUCGAAUGAUCCCAGUCCCUCCUAUUGUGCAUCUGUUGUAGAAAGAGGCGACGAUCCGCAGAACAGAUGUGCUCUACAAACGUUUUAUUUCCUUUUGGAUGCAGAUGCACGAUGCAGAGAGUGAGUUCUGCUUAAUUAAAACUACCUGAUCAAUCAAUCAAUCAAAUUUAUUUUAUAUAGCCCUUCGUACAUCAGCUGAUAUCUCAAAGUGC